rnacentral:rRNA from 1 species
AACGAACGCUGGCGGCAGGCCUAAAACAUGCAAGUCGAACGCCCCGCAAGGGGAGUGGCGCACGGGUGAGUAACGCGUGGGAACGUGCCCUUCACUACGGGACAACGUCGGGAAACUGACGCUAAUACCGUAUAAUGACUCCGGUCCAAAGAUGUAUCGGUGAAGGAGCGGCCCGCGUCUGAUUAGCUAGUUGGUGAGGUAAUGGCUCACCAAGGCUACGAUCAGUAGCAGGUCCGGGAGGAUGAUCUGCCACACUGGGACUGGGACACGGCCCAGACUCCUACGGGAGGCAGCAGUUAGGAAUAUUGGACAAUGGGCGAAAGCUUGAUCCAGCCAUGCCGCGUGUGUGAUGAAGGCCCUAGGGUUGUAAAGCACUUUCGUUGAGGAAGAUAAUGACUGUACUCAAAGAAGAAGCACCGGCUAACUUCGUGCCAGCAGCCGCAGUAA